GUCUUUCAAGUCCGAUGCUAAAGACUGGGGCUCAACCCCAGGGGUGCGUUGGAUACUGUGAGGCUAGACGGUCGGAGGGGGUAGCGGAAUUUCCGGAGUAGCGGUGAAAUGCGCAGAUACCGGAAGGAACGCCAAUAGCGAAGGCAGCUACCUGGACGACUUGUGACGCUGAGGCGCGAAAGCGUGGGGAGCAAACCGGAUUAGAUACCCGGGUAGUCCACGCCCUAAACCAUGAGUGCUGGGUGUCCGGCUUCUGCUGGGUGCCGUAGCUAACGCGCUAAGCACUCCGCCUGGGAAGUACGCACGCAAGUGUGAAACUCAAAGGAAUUGACGGGGGCCCGCACAAGCGGUGGAGCAUGUGGUUUAAUUCGAAGCGACGCGAAGAACCUUACCAGGCCUUGACAUGCCCGGAACCCCUCUGAAAGGAGGGGGUGCCCGCAAGGGAGCCGGGACACAGGUGCUGCAUGGCCGUCGUCAGCUCGUGUCGUGAGAUGUUGGGUUAAGUCCCGCAACGAGCGCAACCCCUAUCCCUAGUUGCCAGCAGUUCGGCUGGGCACUCUAUGGAGACUGCCUGCGAAAGCAGGAGGAAGGCGGGGAUGACGUCUGGUCCGCAUGGCCCUUACGGCCUGGGCGACACACGUGCUACAAUGCCAAGGACAGAGCGCUGCUACCUCGCGAGAGGACGCCAAUCGCAAAAACCUUGGCUCAGUUCGGAUUGGAGUCUGCAACUCGACUCCAUGAAGCCGGAAUCGCUAGUA
rnacentral:rRNA from 1 species